rnacentral:rRNA from 1 species
CGGGAGGCAGCAGUAGGGAAUCUUCCGCAAUGGGCGAAAGCCUGACGGAGCAACGCCGCGUGAGUGAUGAAGGUCUUCGGAUCGUAAAACUCUGUUAUCAGGGAAGAACAAAUGUGUAAGUAACUGUGCACAUCUUGACGGUACCUGAUCAGAAAGCCACGGCUAACUACGUGCCAGCAGCCGCGGUAAUACGUAGGUGGCAAGCGUUAUCCGGAAUUAUUGGGCGUAAAGCGCGCGUAGGCGGUUUUUUAAGUCUGAUGUGAAAGCCCACGGCUCAACCGUGGAGGGUCAUUGGAAACUGGAAAACUUGAGUGCAGAAGAGGAAAGUGGAAUUCCAUGUGUAGCGGUGAAAUGCGCAGAGAUAUGGAGGAACACCAGUGGCGAAGGCGACUUUCUGGUCUGUAACUGACGCUGAUGUGCGAAAGCGUGGGGAUCAAACAGGAUUAGAUACCCUGGUAGUCCACGCCGUAAACGAUGAGUGCUAAGUGUUAGGGGGUUUCCGCCCCUUAGUGCUGCAGCUAACGCAUUAAGCACUCCGCCUGGGGAG